AUUGAACGCUGGCGGCAGACCUAACACAUGCAAGUCGAGCGGUAGCACAGAGAGCUUGCUCUCGGGUGACGAGCGGCGGACGGGUGAGUAAUGUCUGGGAAACUGCCUGAUGGAGGGGGAUAACUACUGGAAACGGUAGCUAAUACCGCAUAACGUCGCAAGACCAAAGUGGGGGACCUUCGGGCCUCAUGCCAUCAGAUGUGCCCAGAUGGGAUUAGCUAGUAGGUGGGGUAACGGCUCACCUAGGCGACGAUCCCUAGCUGGUCUGAGAGGAUGACCAGCCACACUGGAACUGAGACACGGUCCAGACUCCUACGGGAGGCAGCAGUGGGGAAUAUUGCACAAUGGGCGCAAGCCUGAUGCAGCCAUGCCGCGUGUGUGAAGAAGGCCUUCGGGUUGUAAAGCACUUUCAGCGGGGAGGAAGGCGGUGAGGUUAAUAACCUCAUCGAUUGACGUUACCCGCAGAAGAAGCACCGGCUAACUCCGUGCCAGCAGCCGCAGUAA
rnacentral:rRNA from 1 species